rnacentral:misc_RNA from 1 species
GGAACAUACACGCUUGUUUUUCCUCUUCCUCUCUCUGCAACCUUUGCUCUACACGUCUAGCGAGUAAAACCAUGCAUCCCAACGUGGCCAAGAUGCAGCCCGAGACGAGCUACAGCUGCUUGAAACGCUGCUUCAUUGCCAUCUUCUCGUUUUGCGCAAUCUACACGACGGGCAUGAUUCAGGAAUGCAUCAGGGCGGAGAGGACGAACAACCUGUUCCUCUAUCCAUCCUUGCUGUUGAUCGCUGCCUUCUUCUCCAUGUGGGGGUACACGGCGCAGUACAAGAUCCCGCAGGACCCGCUGUGGUAUCGUCACCACGAGACAUACAUGCUAGUUGCAUCCAUUUUUAUCUGCUUUGGGUUUUGCAUGCUGAUCGUGGCCAUCUACCCCAUCUACCGCAUGUGGAGCUGCGCGAUCGUCCUCCUCUGGGUGGUGAUGAUCGGCAACGUGAAUGGCGCCGUCACCUACAUCAUGAGCCACCUGAGCAAAAAGAAGUCCACGUAGACCGUCUCGAGGAGUCAAAAGGAAAUUAAAAAAAAAGGCUGCAGCAGAGGAAUCUCUCUUGCUGUUGUCCCUCCUCCGCUGUGCCGGUACCUUAGCAUCACUCCAACGUGAUCACAUGCCACGGGAUGGAGGAAAGUCGGUGGAAGGGGGAAAUGGGUAUGUGUCCGUGUGCCACACAUGUGGGCGCUCCUCAUCGAACGGUAGCACCUGCAACGCUGGUGUCCUGUGCCUCUGCGUGCGCAGAGGUUUUCUGCGUUCUUCUGUGGACUUGCCUCGUCCGCCUGCCUCGCUUUCGCUUCGCAUUGCUCAUUCUUCUUCUUUUCUCGUGUUUGUUCUGGGGCCGGCCGCGGCGGAGCUGCUUGCUCGUGUUGAGACGUGCAACCGUUGUUGGGCCCCCCUUGUGAAGGGUUGUUGUUGCUGAUGUUGCUCGAGGCUCUAACUUUUGGAGUGGUGCGCCCCCUCCCCAACGUGUACAGCCCUCCCUCCGUUCUUUUCCACUGUCACCUCCGCGUCACCAUCAGAACGGGCUAGCGAUGCGGAGAGUGAUAGUCGUCC